AUUGAACGCUGGCGGCAGGCCUAACACAUGCAAGUCGAGCGGAGCGGCGGACGGGUGAGUAAUGCCUAGGAAUCUGCCUGGUAGUGGGGGAUAACGUCCGGAAACGGGCGAUAAUACCGCAUACUAUCAGAUGAGCCUAGGGCGGAUUAGCUCUUUGGGGGGGUAAAGUCCUACCAAGUCGACGAUCCGUAACUGGUCUGAGAGGAUGAUCAGUCACGUUGGAACUGAGACACGGUCCAGACUCCUACGGGAGUCAGCAGUGGGUAAGUUUGGACAAUGGGCGAAAGCCUGAUCCAGCCAUGCCGCGUGGGUGAAGAAGGUCUUCGGAUUGUAAAGCACUUUAAGUUGGGAGGCGUUACCAACAGAAUAAGCACCGGCUAACUUCGUGCCAGCAGCCGCGGUAAUUC
rnacentral:rRNA from 1 species